rnacentral:misc_RNA from 1 species
UCCGGUUUGUCACCGGCAGUCUCAUUAGAGUGCCCAACUAAAUGUAGCAACUAAUGACAAGGGUUGCGCUCGUUGCGGGACUUAACCCAACAUCUCACGACACGAGCUGACGACAGCCAUGCAGCACCUGUGUUCCAGUUCUCUUACGAGCACACCCGCCUUUCAGCAGGCUUCCGGACAUGUCAAGGGUAGGUAAGGUUGUUCGCGUUGCAUCGAAUUAAUCCACAUCAUCCACCGCUUGUGCGGGUCCCCGUCAAUUCCUUUGAGUUUUAACCUUGCGGCCGUACUCCCCAGGCGGAUCACUUCACGCGUUAGCUGCGGUACCAAGGAAUCACUUCCCCAACACCUAGUGAUCAUCGUUUAGGGCGUGGACUAC